rnacentral:rRNA from 1 species
UACGUAGGGUGCGAGCGUUAAUCGGAAUUACUGGGCGUAAAGCGUGCGUAGACGGUAGCGUAAGUCAGAUGUGAAAGCCCCGGGCUCAACCUGGGAACUGCAUUUGAGACUGCUCUGCUCGGGUGCGGAAGAGGGAAGCGGAAUUUCCGGUGUAGCGGUGAAAUGCGUAGAUAUCGGAAGGAACACCUGUGGCGAAAGCGGCUCACUGGACCAUAACUGACGCUGAUGCACGAAAGCUGGGGGAGCAAACAGG